GUAUGUAUCUGCGUGUUAUGCGGCGUGCAUGUACAACAUCUUUGCGCUUGUGCUUGCAUUUUUGCAUUGUGUGCAUUGUAUGCCCUUCUUCCCGUACGGUUGCAAACUCAUGGAUAAUAUUUCUGUGAGAUUCCUCCUUAAUGCAAGAUUGCAUCCUUAAAACUAAAUUUGGGCCAUUUAGGUUCACUUCAAAAAAUCACGUUCUAUAUAACAUGGAGAUCAGAUGUGAAAGCCAAAGAUAUGAGGUG
rnacentral:lncRNA from 1 species